rnacentral:rRNA from 1 species
UACGAGUGCUUCGAGCGUUAUCCGGAAUCAUUGGGCGUAAAGGGUGUGUAGGCGGUUGUGUUAGUCUCGUGUAAAAUCCUUCGGCUUAACCGAGGGCUCGCACGAGAAACGGCACGACUAAGAGGACGGAAGAGGUCACUGGAACUCUAGGUGUAGCGGUGAAAUGCGUUGAUAUCUAGGGGAACACCAAAAGCGAAGGCAAGUGACUGGUCCGCUCCUGACGCUGAAACACGAAAGCGUGGGUCGCGAAUGGG